UCUAGGUCUAUUUUUUGUAACCUCUAUUCAGAUUAACGACUGUUACGCCAGUAGUUCAUAUGACUUUUAGAAGCGAUUCAUUAGAGAGUCAUUCAACGAAUUAGAAUCAACCAAUUCGUUCAAACCAUAGACUGGUUCAAACCGGUUCAAACACGCGGAUACAUUCAGCAGCGAAACAAUGAGUGAGUUGUUGAACUGUUAUCUCAAGAAGCUAACGUUAAUUGUUCAAAAACAAUGAUUAAUUCAAGAACGGCACUACUGUGUGAUGCUUGGAGACGCUCAACGAUUGAAGGUUGCGGUUGACUGGAGGAGGCUCAAGGUCAGGAUUCGAAGGCGAAGGCAGCUCUGGUUUGCCGUUGUGGUCGAUUCCUGAAAGUGACGUCCUGCGAGGGAGGAGAGCAGGUUGCAUCUGAUUAUGGCCGGUAUCGUCAUUACCAUGGUGAUCGGACAGGUGUGUAGGUUUGGGUGGAAGGGGAG